AUUGAACGCUGGCGGCAGGCCUAACACAUGCAAGUCGAGCGGGGUUUUCGGACCUAGCGGCGGACGGGUGAGUAAUGCGUAGGAAGCUGCCCGAUAGAGGGGGAUACCAGUUGGAAACGACUGUUAAUACCGCAUAAUGUCUACGGACCAAAGUGUGGGACCUUCGGGCCACAUGCUAUCGGAUGCGCCUACGUGGGAUUAGCUAGUUGGUGAGGUAAUGGCUCACCAAGGCGACGAUCUCUAGCUGGUUUGAGAGGAUGAUCAGCCACACUGGAACUGAGACACGGUCCAGACUCCUACGGGAGGCAGCAGUGGGGAAUAUUGGACAAUGGGCGCAAGCCUGAUCCAGCCAUGCCGCGUGUGUGAAGAAGGCCUACGGGUUGUAAAGCACUUUCAGCGAGGAGGAAGGGGUGUGUGUUAAUAGUACACACCUUUGACGUUACUCGCAGAAGAAGCACCGGCUAACUCUGUGCCAGCAGCCGCUGUAAGAC
rnacentral:rRNA from 1 species